AGAGCGAACGCUGGCGGCAGGCCUAACACAUGCAAGUCGAGCGCCCCGCAAGGGGAGCGGCAGACGGGAGAGUAACACGUGGGAACGUACCCUUCAGUUCGGAACAACCCAGGGAAACUUGGGCUAAUACCGAAUACGUCCGUAAGGAGAAAGAUUUAUCGCUGAAGGAUCGGCCCGCGUCUGAUUAGCUUGUUGGUGAGGUAACGGCUCACCAAGGCUACGAUCAGUAGCUGGUCUGAGAGGAUGAUCAGCCUCACUGGGACUGAGACACGGCCCAGACUCCUACGGGAGGCAGCAGUGGGGAAUAUUGGACAAUGGGCGCAAGCCUGAUCCAGCCAUGCCGCGUGGGUGAUGAAGGCCCUAGGGUUGUAAAGCCCUUUCGGCGGGGAAGAUAAUGACGGUACCCGCAGAAGAAGCCCCGGCUAACUUCGUGCCAGCAGCCGC
rnacentral:rRNA from 1 species